rnacentral:antisense_RNA from 1 species
GAAAAGCGCUCAGUUGUCAAGGAACUAUUUUUCUUGCCGUCGUCCCAGAGAUGCCUUUGGAAAAGCGGAAGGGCACGGAGGGUUCUGGAGUUUGUUGCUGGCACCUGCGUGGUGUCAUGAGAACGUGGCGGGGCGUUCAUGGGUGCUUCAGAAUGUGUGGUCAAAAGCAGCCCUCAGAUCAGAGACCUCGACCCCUCUCCUGCCUCAGGACAGCAAACUCAACCAGCCUCCAAGAUGGGGCCUUUCUUCAGUAGCAGGUCCAGCAUAGCAAGUGGGUGGUGAGAUGCCGGCAGUGGAAUUCUAGAAGCAGUGCCUCCCAGAACAGCACUACAGUACUGAGGAAGGACUAUGCACCUGGGAAGCUGUCACACACACAAAAUCAUUUCAUGAAAACUUUCUCUGGGUAAAGGAAGGGUUCCACUGCAUAGUAUUUGAUUUGAGAAGGGCUGCAUGGUGCAUGAGGUUAAGAAAGAAAUG